GGUAAAUUAGAUACUAUAUUAUUUCAUAUAGAAUGAAACAGUGGUGGCGCCAUACGGAAACUUUUCCUAAGGUCUGACUAGCAUAGUACUUAGUCUUGUUUCAAGACGCUCAAUCUCAUUUUCUUGUGGUGAUCGAAAUAACUCGCCUAAGGACAGUUAAAACAAGAUCCUUAACAAAAUAAAAGAUAAUCUCUUGAACCAAACUAAGAACUAUGCUGUCAACGGUAAAAGCGAAGAACUCACAUCGAUGUCCCUGAGUAACUGGAGGUCAAUGAGGUCGGCGGUUUGCAGAGGUCACGUUCAACAGGUGAUCAGGUAUAAGUAUCGGUAAGUGGAAAAGAGUCAACUCUUUUUCUCCCGGGAUCCAAAAUGUCUUAUUUUCACUGAUUUGAAUUUUUUUGUUUAUUUUCACAGAUUUGAGACCUGACGCCAAGUCUUUGCAGCACAGGUUAAGUAUUGGGCGAAGAGUGAGGGCAAGUGUGAAAGAAAAAUUUCUUGCUUAUAGUUUCUAACUUUCUCUGUUUGUUUGUGUUUAUUUUCACAGAUUUGGGACCUGAGAUCAAGUGAGUUCAAUAAAGUGUUUGCAGCACAGGUUAAGUAUCAGGCGAAGUAUUAGGUAAAGUUUGAGAGCAAGUGUGAAAGAAAAGUUUCUUACUUUUAACUCUUAACUUUUCCCUUCACGGGCCAGCUGUUACCUUGAUUGUUUGCUAAAGUGGAUGUUGUGGCAAACAGAUGUCAGCUCUGGGACACUGUAGAUGACAUCAAUUUGUUUUGAGCAGUCUCUUGUGGAGUGGUGAUGAAUACAACCCAGACCUGUUUAAUGGAUGAACAUCGUUGGAGCAGACAGGGAGUGAUGACUACAAAUGAACCUGUUUGGAUGAGCAUCGCUAGAAGUCAGCUACAGGGAGUUAACAACAUCUUGUGCUGAGUUUGAAAUAAAUUAUUUUGAAACUUUUGUGUGGAGAGAAGCUUAAUCUAAUCAGAAUAACCAUGUUUUGAAGGUUUCUAAUAAUCGAUUUGAAAGCUUCAUUUCAAUCCUUUGCAAUAAACACAUCGUUAUAACGAACCUGGGGAAACUUCAUUAAAGUAUGAGGUCUAAGAUUGUCAGAAGAGUUUUCUCAAAAGAAAGAAACUUCAACUAAACCUGGAAUGUUGAGUCUUGCUGUGUGUGCAUGUUCAAUGAGUUGAAGAAACUAUUGGACCUUGGGGAGAUUUUAACUACUUUCUGAUAAUAGAUGUUAAAUUUGCAUCUGGGAUAAAGAUUAUUAGUUUUGUUUUUUACCCAUACACCGAUGUGUCUUAGCACUGUAUAGGCCUACUGGGUACUUUCUCAAGUCCUAUGAGGGUCGUGGGUUCGAAUCCCACCUGAGUAACAUGCCUGGACUCUGGGAAAGUACCGAGUAUACAGUGCUAACACACAUCGGUGUAUGGGUAAAAACCAAAAUUAUUAUUUUCUAAUACUUGUAGAAAGAGUUUAUCAAAACUGUAUAUUUUCAUCUUAAGGUUGUGAAGAUGACUUUGUAGAAGGCCUCUACGCUACUUGGACGGUGUACCACCUGAGCUGAAGAAAGACUGUGUCCAGUCUAGCCAACUGACUCUCUACUACAACUCAUGAGAGUCAAACCAGCCCUUUUUGGACUGGUGCAAAGAGUCGACAACAAACUACUUGAUUGAGAUGAUGACCUGCACACAACAUUGAGGCUAAUCAACACUCAUUGGACUGAGUGCAACCAGCUGAAGAGGACUGUACCAGUUGAAGCUCCUUGACUCUAUGCUACAAGUUUAAACGCUCAAGGGACAUUAAUUUUGGGCUAUGGCCAUUGAUGGCCUACCAAUGCUUUAUGAACUCGGUGUCGCCAUCUGAAGAAGAACUGUAUAAAGUCUAGCUCCCUGACUCUAUACUACAAGUUUAAACACGCUCAAGGGACAUUAAUUUGAGGCUAUGGCCAACCAACGCUUUUUGAACUUGGUGUCAUCAUCUGAAGAAGAACUGUAUCAUAGCUCCCUGACUCUAUGCUACAAUGAGUUCAACUGUAUCAAGUUUAGCUACCUGACUCUAUGCUAUGUGUCCACGAAUGUUGUGAUGAUAAUAACCACAACUUUUUGAACUAAUCAGCUGAAGAUCUGCAUCAAAGACUAUAUGAUAAAAUAAGAUGUUUAACUGUUUUCUGAACUAUCACUUCUCAAAUGGAGAUUAUACACAUGGUUAUACCUGCAAGUUUACUAGUCGUAGUUACUUCUUAUUUUCACACCAUGCAAAUCUUCAAUGCUUUUUGGACUGUCACCAACUGAAGAAAGACUGUGUCAAGUGAUCUCUACAUGUUUGAACUGAAACAAGCUGGACCAUGAGGGCGCCUUACUGUAUGAUGUCAACACUCAAGGGGAUCGGACCAAUGAUGUCAUACCUGAAUGUGUGGCUGUGGCUAUGGCUGCAGUUGUUGUUAUGGGAGUCACAUUGGUUUAAGAAUUAUUAACUCUAAAGAUGGAACAGCUUUUGAAAAGAAAAAAACAAAUAGCUUAAUCAGGUAACCAACAAUGUUGGAAUCCAAGCGCAAUUAUGAGACCUGAACUUGGUGUUUUUGUGGUUUUUUACCCAAAACGUUCGACUACAAAAUGAUUAAAAAUGCCAAGAAAAGACAAAACUUGAUUGCAGGGAAGAUUAAAACAAAAUUAAUUUCUAUUUAAACAAAACUCAAGUUACCAAAGUUCUUUGACAUGUUCAACAUCAUGGCAAGAAAAGCUCAGCUUAAGUCAUUUUGUUAUAAUGGUAAACUGUUUGUGAUGAAGGAAGAAAACCUUUUG